UUAUAUUUUUUUUUUAUAAUUGUUUUAAGGUUUUGGGUUUCUUUGUUAACCCCUUUUGAUUUGGAUAGUCUGAAAAUUUACAGUUUUGGCUUUGGUUGAACUAUGAUCAAAAUGGUCGGGUUGUGAAUUUCUCUGGUUUCUAAUUUUGCAGAUGUUUGGUCUUUUGUUGUAAACGAUUUUGAAACCUCAAGUCCAGUACAUGCCUUCUGUUUUGUUGCUUUGACACCAUUUCUUAUGACAUGUUGAUUGGACAUAACUUGUUGCAUUAUUUGUUCUUGUAGUUGCUGUCAUAUAAAGAGUUUUUUUUUAGGUAUUUUUUUUAUUUGUAGGUUUGAGACUUGAAGUUUGUUGAUCAAUAACAUAUUUGUCAAGGUAGAUACCCCUGCAUAGAUUAUCCAUGAAUAAAAUUAGCAAGAAUGUGUUCAUUUUAAAACUUUAGAUGCUAAUGUUGGAUAAUUGAGAGGAGUAAUGUGGUAAAUGUUGUACCAAUAUUUCAUAAUUUUCAGCAAUUUAGAACUUCUCCUUUCCAAAGCUUGGCCACUGCGAAUUUUGGUAUUGCCAAUGGAUGCCACAGCUAGUGGAACCCCAACUAUACAAUACCAUAACAUUCUUGACCAGCUAAUUACCACUAUUGUUGUUGCCACUCCUGUACCAACAUUCAAAAUGAGGCAAUGCCAUCGCUUUGGGACCUUAAUCCCCAGAGAACUCUCUUUAGCUGCCAACCCCUCAAUUGUCCUUCAUGUCCUUACUGCAUGCAAUUUGGAUCCUUAAGACCUUGCAAAGCUAGAGGCAAGUGACCUGUUGCUCUAAAGUUUGGCAAUGUAUUGGUCUUUUAAAUCUUAGAAUUGAUAAUGCUGCUGGUUUGAUUUUGGAUGUGUGUGUUGCAGGCAAUAUGCUCAUUUUUCUGGCAGUCUGCAAACUUUGCUCCUGACUUUGAAUUGUCCAUAUCAGAGCUUGCUACUCUAGACAUGUGCCAAAAGAGUGGUAUAUUUAAGCCAAUGACAGUGGAGAAACGUCAAGAAUUGAAGCAAAGAUGUGGGGGUUUCAUGAAAACUGGUCUUGAAGUUCUUGUUGGCUAGAGAGGCAUGUUUCAGAACGGAGAAAUCACAGGCAAUAGUAGGGCUGGGUCACAGCAUUACUGUAACUUCAAAAGGAGCUAUCUAUUCAUUUGGCUCUAACAACUCAGGACAGCUUGGACAUGGCACCACUGAAGAGGAAAGGAGGCCUUGGCAAAUCAGAUCUCUGCAAGGCAUUCAAAUUGUUCAAGCAGCUGCUGGGGCUGGCAGGACAAUGAUGAUCAGUGAUGCUGGGAAAGUUUAUGCCUUUGGAAACUCAAGAUGAUUCUAUGACGUAGUAAUAACAAGAUAGUUCUAUGAUAUAGUAUAAACAAUGUACUUUUAUGAAAUGGUAUUAACAAUAUUUUUCUAUGGAAUGGUAUUAACAAUGUACUCCUAUGGAAUUGUAUUAAUAAUGUACUCCUAUGGAAUGAUAUUAACAAUGUAUUUCUAAGACAUGGUAUUAACACUGUACUUCUAUGAAAUGGUAUUAACAAUAUUUUUCUAUGGAAUGGUAUUAACAAUGUACUCCUAUGGAAUUGUAUUAAUAAUGUACUCCUAUGGAAUGAUAUUAACAAUGUAUUUCUAAGACAUGGUAUUAACACUGUACUUCUAUGAAAUGGUAUUAACAAUAUUUUUCUAUGGAAUGGUAUUAACAAUGUACUCCUAUGGAAUUGUAUUAAUAAUGUACUCCUAUGGAAUGAUAUUAACAAUGUAUUUCUAAGACAUGGUAUUAACACUGUACUUCUAUGAAAUGGUAUUAACAAUAUUUUUCUAUGGAAUGGUAUUAACAAUGUACUCCUAUGGAAUUGUAUUAAUAAUGUACUCCUAUGGAAUGAUAUUAACAAUGUAUUUCUAA